rnacentral:rRNA from 1 species
UACGUAGGGUGCAAGCGUUGUCCGGAAUUAUUGGGCGUAAAGAGCGUGUAGGCGGCCCGAUUAGUCCGCUGUGAAAGUCCAGGGCUCAACCCUGGAAUGCCGGUGGAUACUGUCGGGCUAGAGUCCGGAAGGGGCGAGUGGAAUUCCUGGUGUAGCGGUGAAAUGCGCAGAUAUCAGGAGGAACACCAAUGGCGAAGGCAGCUCGCUGGGACGUGACUGACGCUGAGACGCGAAAGCGUGGGGGAGCAAACGGG